rnacentral:lncRNA from 1 species
ACCAAGGAGGUUCCUGAUGAUGAUCAUUAUUCGCAUCCAACGGCUCUGAUUUAACAUCCGACCCCGGCUCAUUCUCACCUUGCUGUUGCUGCAGUUGAUUCUGCUCUUCUUCCUCUUCUCUCCUCGCACGCUUCGCCCCAAUCGACACACCAAACAACCUCGGAGUCAGAUCCAACUCUUCCGCCUCCUCCACCUUCGCGCCGCCUUCAUCGGCCUUCCUCGCCGGCAGUACCUCCACCGACUUCCCCUCCGGCAGACUUACGUUGUCCAGCUGACCGGACGCGUAAUUCGUCAUUAAAGCGAGUAUGUUAUUACACAAUCCUUUCAACUGACUCAACUCGUUAUUCAGUUGAGCGUUUUCUUUUCUCAACUUUUCGUUCUCUUCUAGAAGCUCCGGCAUCGUCGUACAACUCGUAGUUCUAAUCACGGUCGUAGGCGGCACCGCCACCGGCGACGAAUUAGCUGAUAUCACCUGUUCCUCGCCGGAGUUCGCCGGCGAAAUCGACCGUGCAACCGCAGCGACCGUCACAGUCCCCGCC